rnacentral:rRNA from 1 species
UACGUAGGGGGCAAGCGUUGUCCGGAUUUAUUGGGCGUAAAGAGCGUGUAGGCGGCCUGAAAGGUCAGCUGUGAAAACUCGAGGCUCAACCUCGAGACGUCGGUUGAAACCAUCUGGCUAGAGUCCGGAAGAGGAGAGUGGAAUUCCCGGUGUAGCGGUGAAAUGCGCAGAUAUCGGGAAGAACACCCGUGGCGAAGGCGGCUCUCUGGGACGGUACUGACGCUGAGACGCGAAAGCGUGGGGAGCGAGCAGG